UGGCAACACCGUUCCUACCGGAAGUACCUCCCGCUGAUCGGUCCGUUUGUUUACGGCUGUAAUUUUAGCGAGUUUACGCAGCACGAGGGAACAAUGGCCCAUUAUAAGAUCGGUGAUGUCCAAGCCGUGGCACAGAUAUUGGAUUGUGAGAGUCUGUCGGAGAUUUGCGGUGAUGCCUUAAAUAUUGGAGUUCCACAAAAACCCAGAGUGAGAAGAAAAUGUGCUUCAAAACACAAACUUCAAGAUGCUUCAGGUAGCACUAAAAAUGGAGAAAAGACAAAAGGCUGUAAAAUGGUCCAUAAUCCUCGUCGUUACUCUUCGAAUGAGAAUCUUCACAGUGAAAAACAAGUUGAGACAAAAAGCAUCGAGGAGAGUGAGAACGGGACUGAAGACGCCGUUCGGCCAAAGGUAAAGGAAGAAAAGGAAGAGACCUCAUUGCUGGAGCCUUUAUCUGAUGAUGACUGGGCAUGUGACGUUGAGAUAAAGAGUGACGAUGAGAUGCAGAAUAAUGACCCCUUGUUUGUAUUGGACACUGAGGACGAGGAUGAGGAGGAAGA